rnacentral:rRNA from 1 species
UACGUAGGGUGCGAGCGUUAAUCGGAAUUACUGGGCGUAAAGCGUGCGCAGGCGGUUUCCUAAGUCAGAUGUGAAAGCCCCGGGCUCAACCUGGGAACUGCGUUUGAAACUGGGAGGCUAGAGUGUGGCAGAGGGGGGUGGAAUUCCACGUGUAGCAGUGAAAUGCGUAGAUAUGUGGAGGAACACCGAUGGCGAAGGCAGCCCCCUGGGUCAACACUGACGCUCAUGCACGAAAGCGUGGGGAGCAAACAGG